rnacentral:pre_miRNA from 5 species
GACUUUUCCUAGUCCCUGAGACCCUAACUUGUGAGGUAUUUUAGUAACAUCACAAGUCAGGCUCUUGGGACCUAGGCGGAGGG